GGGCCCGCACAAGCGGUGGAGCAUGUGGUUUAAUUCGAUGAUACGCGAGGAACCUUACCAGGGCUUAAAUGUAAGUUGCAUUAGUUAGAGAUAGCUAUUUCUUCGGACAGAUUACAAGGUGCUGCAUGGUUGUCGUCAGCUCGUGCCGUGAGGUGUCAGGUUAAGUCCUAUAACGAGCGCAACCCCUGUCGUUAGUUGCCAGCAUGUCAUGAUGGGGACUCUAACGAGACUGCCGGUGCAAACCGCGAGGAAGGUGGGGAUGACGUCAAGUCCUCAUGGCCCUUACAGGCUGGGCUACACACGUGCUACAAUGGCGAUGACAGUGGGCAGCGACCCCGCAAGGGUGAGCU
rnacentral:rRNA from 1 species